rnacentral:rRNA from 1 species
UACGUAGGGACCAAGCGUUGUUCGGAUUUACUGGGCGUAAAGGGUGCGUAGGCGGCUUGUCAAGUCAGUUGUGGAAAUCUCCGAGCUUAACUCGGAACGGUCAACUGAUACUGUCAUGCUAGAGUGCAGAAGGGGCAAUCGGAAUUCUUGGUGUAGCGGUGAAAUGCGUAGAUAUCAAGAGGAACACCUGAGGUCGAAGCAGGGUUGCUGGGCUGACACUGACGCUGAAGACGAAAGCUAGGGGUAGCAAACGGG